rnacentral:rRNA from 1 species
AUUGAACGCUGGCGGCAGGCUUAACACAUGCAAGUCGAGCGGAGAUGAGGUGCUUGCACCUUAUCUUAGCGGCGGACGGGUGAGUAAUGCUUAGGAAUCUGCCUAUUAGUGGGGGACAACAUUCCGAAAGGAAUGCUAAUACCGCAUACGUCCUACGGGAGAAAGCAGGGGAUCUUCGGACCUGGCGCUAAUAGAUGAGCCUCAGUCGGAUUAGCUAGUUGGUGGGGUAAAGGCCUACCAAGGCGACGAUCUGUAGCGGGUCUGAGAGGAUGAUCCGCCACACUGGGACUGAGACACGGCCCAGACUCCUACGGGAGGCAGCAGUGGGGAAUAUUGGACAAUGGGGGAAACCCUGAUCCAGCCAUGCCGCGUGUGUGAAGAAGGCCUUAUGGUUGUAAAGCACUUUAAGCGAGGAGGAGGCUACUGAGACUAAUACUCUUGGAUAGUGGACGUUACUCGCAGAAUAAGCACCGGCUAACUCUGUGCCAGCCGCCGCCGUAA